GUUUCUGAUUUAAAAUGUUUUUAAUAAAAUUUUUAGACACCAGCGAUAAUAAGGUGUUAUGCGGCCUUUGGCUUUUUUCCCUAUUUUACUUAGUUCAAACUACAAUAAGUUGUGCCUCUGGUAAAAGUUGCCGUGGGUCUCAUGCAGUUGCGUUGGCAGUUGGUGCCAUCUCCACUUUGCUUAUUUCUGGUUCAGUAUUCUUGAAAUGUUUUUACAGUUAUAGACCUAGAGUUGUGGAUCUAAUAAUGGCUAUUUUCUUACUACUGUUAUGGACAGCUGGUCUGGGGGUAGGGACCUUUUACGGCCCCUAUGGCAUAGUAAUCGGUGCAAAUGCAAAUGGUUAUUUAUCCGCGUGGACGGCCUUCUUUUUAAGCGGCUAUUAUGUUUUUUUUUUCUGUUCCGCUCAUCAACAAAUUACAGCGCAUAAAAAUAGAAUUAUAAAUACAACCGGACUUCUUUUAAUUAGUACUUUGUUUUAUUUAAUAUCUUCUGCGAUAGUAUGUAAACGGGAGCUGUGCACGUCGUAUGUAGGAUAUGCGAUUGUUGUGGGCGCUGUAGGGCUUAUAUUCGCUAUGCUUUUGUUUAUCUCCAGGUUACUGGUAAAAGGGCUGUCAAAAAAAAUCGAGGUUUGUUUGGUUGGUUUCUUAUUUUUGUGGAUAACCUCCGGGACAGUUGUGGGAACUUUUGCUUCUCCGUUUAACCUUUUGGGAAAUGGGUACCUAACGGCUUGGGUAUCCUUCUUCGGAACUCUAGCUCUUUUAUUAGAGGUAGUGGGUCGAAAGUCAGAGCAGCCGGCUGGGAAUUAUCACCCAAACACUUUUGCAGCGCCGAUUUAAACUUUAAUAAAAGGCUAUACUUCAA